rnacentral:lncRNA from 10 species
GCUAGGAACUUAGAACUUUUUAAAAGAGGCAAAGGCAGAGGAGAACAAAGGAAGGAGGAAGUAACUUGUGGAGUGCUGAGAAAGGUGAUCAGAAGAGCCAUCACUGAAGAUGACAACUGAGCAAAGACCCAAAGGAGGUGAAGAGUGAACUACGGAGGAAGCACCUUCCUGGCAGAGAACAGCAAGUGCAAAGGCCCUGGGCAGGGAGGAUGACUGGGGAUCAUUCAAGCAAGAGCAAAGAGGCCAAUGUGGAAGGAACAGAGUCAGCAAGAAGGAGUGUAAAAGGAGGGAGAAGAAACUAAGGAAAUACCAGCAGAAGCAGGGACCCUGGCCAAGAGGCUAAUGAAAUCAUCCAAGUGAGAGAGUACUGUUUGUGUUGGCAAAGUCACUUAAAUGCCCUUCUAUGACAAGCUGGCAGAGCUGCUUGCCGCACUAGGGAAGGAGGAGGAAAUGACAGCAGAGGAGCUUCAUCCAGACAGAAAGAUGUAGAAGGGUCCAGCCCUUCCCUCACAUC